UUUUUCGUAUCGUUCGGUGCAUUUUGGGAAUUGCUUCUUGCUUUUAGUUGUUUGCUUGGCCUUUGUGCUGGGUGGGUGGCUUUUUGUAGGGGUGGUUUUGGGGAAUGUUGACCGUAAAGGUGCGUGAGUGGUGUUUUGUGUGUUUCGGGUGGUUGGAUGUCUGCAUGUGCAGCAACGUCCAUCGGUGCACACAUCUUCAUUUUUGGCGAAGGGUUGUUUUUUGACCUGGAGCAAUUGUUGGGAUAUCCUGUGUUGUGUUCCUACUUUGAUGGUAUGUCAUUGUUUGCUUGUUGCCCUUUUUCAUUGUGCGCCACUUGUGUGGUGUGUGAUGAACUUGAAGCGGCCUCUUUUUGAUCCAUGUUGUUGAUGCAUUUGUGUCUUUGGCAUGGCCCAUUGGGUGUUGCUUGGUUUCUAGAAUAUGGAACCUUGUGUGGGUAUGGGGUCUCUUAAGGAACUCCUAUGUUUACCCUCCUCAAGUGUUCUUGCUUCUCAGGAAAAUGGAACCUGACGUGUUGCGGUGGUUGACUGU
rnacentral:misc_RNA from 1 species